rnacentral:misc_RNA from 1 species
GAAAUGCGAUAACUAGUGUGAAUUGCAGAAUUCCGUGAAUCAUCGAGUCUUUGAACGCACAUUGCGCCCCCUGGUAUUCCGGGGGGCAUGCCUGUCCGAGCGUCAUUGCUGCCCAUCAAGCACGGCUUCUGUGUUGGGUCGUCGUCCCCUCUCCGGGGGGGACGGGCCCCAAAGGCAGCGGCGGCACCGCGUCCGAUCCUCGAGCGUAUGGGGCUUUGUCACCCGCUCUGUAGGCCCGGCCGGCGCUUGCCGAACGCAAAUCAAUCUUUUUCCAGGUUGACCUCGGAUCAGGUAGGGAUACCCGCUGAACUUAAGC